CAUUCGCUUUAGCCAGUCGUCUGGGAUUGUAUUCCAAAACUUCCCAGUCAGUCUCAGGAGAAGAAAUAGAUGCAAUGGAUGUCCAGCAGCUUUCACAAAUAGUACCAAAGGUUGCAGUAUUUUACAGAGCUAGCCCAAGGCACAAGAUGAAAAUUAUUAAGUCGCUACAGAAGAACGGUUCAGUUGUAGCCAUGACAGGAGAUGGAGUAAAUGAUGCAGUUGCUCUGAAGGCUGCAGACAUUGGAGUUGCGAUGGGCCAGACUGGUACAGAUGUUUGCAAAGAGGCAGCAGACAUGAUCCUAGUGGAUGAUGAUUUUCAAACCAUAAUGUCUGCAAUUGAAGAGGGUAAAGGGAUUUAUAAUAACAUUAAAAAUUUCGUUAGAUUCCAGCUGAGCACGUAAGUUUGCAAGAAAUUUGUCACCAUGGGUCUUCUGGAUAAAUUAUAUGAAAAGUAGAACUUAAGCAGAAUGCCUAGAAACUUCUCUGCCUUAUAUUUCUGAGCAUUGUUCAUAUGUCAGUUUUCCAAAAAGAAAAUUUAUUGUAUUCUGAAAUUUA
rnacentral:sRNA from 1 species